ACCUCAGCUCAAGCAAGAAAACCCGCUGAACUUAAGCAUAUCAAUAAGCGGAGGAAAAGAAACUAACAAGGAUUCCCCUAGUAACGGCGAGUGAAGAGGGAAAAGCUCAAAUUUUAAAUCUACCUGGUUCCCAGGUCGAAUUGUAUUUUGAAGAAUCGAUAUUUGUGUUGAGGUCUGGUUCAAGUUCUUUGGAACAAGACAUCAUGGAGGGUGAGAAUCCCGUGCAUGAUCAGACCAAGAUACUUUAUAUUCGUUUUCUAAGAGUCGAGUUGUUUGGGAAUGCAGCUCAAAUUGGGUGGUAGACUUCACCUAAGGCUAAAUAUCAGCGAGAGACCGAUAGCGAACAAGUACUGUGAAGGAAAGAUGAAAAGCACUUUGAAAAGAGAGUUAAAUAGUACGUGAAAUUGUUGAAAGGGAAACGAUUGAAGUCAGUCAUGCUAGUGAAAAUUCAGUUUGACGGGUUUUGGGUUUGGGAGUAAGAGGUAGGGUCAAACCGUCUCUCUUUUAAACUUGGGAUUUGUCGGAUGCACUUUUUCUUUGGCAGGUCAGCGUCGAUUUCAGAGGCUGUAAAAUACUUGGGGGAAAGUAGCUCUGCUUCGGGAGAGUGUUAUAGAUCCUGGGGGAUGCAACCUGUGGGAUCGAGGAUUGCAGCAAAUGCCUUUGGCUUGUCGCCUGAUCUCUGGUUGUUACCUCAUUUAUGACAACAUUCUUGUCAUCGAUGAGUGCUAAUGGCUAUUAGGUUAGAACGAUCAAAAAUUUGCUAAGGAUGCUGGCGUAAUGGCUUUAAACGACCCGUCUUGAAACACGGACCAAGGAGUCUAACAUAUGUGCGAGUGUUUGGGUGACAAACCCGGAACGCGUAAUGAAAGUGAAUACGGGUGGGAUCCUCCUCGUGGGGAGCACCAUCAACCGAUCAGGAUAUUUUUUGAUAGAUUUGAGUAAGAGCACAUCUGUUGGGACCCGAAAGAUGGUGAACUAUGCCUGAAUAGGGUGAAGCCAGAGGAAACUCUGGU
rnacentral:rRNA from 1 species